GGCUGGAUAGUCUAGUGGUUAAGACAAUUCUAUCAGACCUUAGAUGGCCUAGGUUUAAAUCAUAGUCCUGCUA